UAUGCGGGAAAAGUCGGAAAUUAAGCCGGGAGAUGAGCCGAAUGGCUAGCACAAUACAAAAUCUGGUCGGCCUGAAUAGCCGAACGUGACUUUCUAUUGAAUAGAAAAUGGAAAAGUACAAGAACAGGGGAGUGAUGCCCGUGGGGCAGACAGACUCCAAGUAUAUUCUACAAGGGAGUGAUGCCCAUGGGGCAGACAGACUCCAAGUAUAUUCUAUAAGGGAGUGAUGCCCAUGGGGCAGACAGACUCCAAAGAUCUAAGUUACAAGAACUACUGCUAGGGAAAGCAGUAAAUGCGAGAAAGAAAUAUGCAGAAAAAUAAGGGUGGUCUUUUGUGCGUAGGGGCAAAGACCUCUAUUACAGGCUUCAAAGUUACUAUUUAUAGCCCACAUUAUUAGUUGGUUGAAAGUAGUUGGGGGGAGUGGUUGCAACCAUGAUCGUGGAAGUUAUACUAACUCCUCAUGAAAGUUACGCUAACUCCUCGUGGAAGUUACGCCCCAAUCUGCAACCGUUCCCGCCUUCUUGUCCUUCAGGCGCCUUAUUGCCGACUCCUGGUGUACUGCGUGUCCUUAUUGGCUCAUACGUGGGUUAGGUCGGCUCAAUUUUGGUAUCAACAAUGCCCCCUUAAUAGUCAUUCGAAUGAACAUUUGGAUGACUCUUGGUGCCAAAUUGAAUGUUCAAAAGCACAGCCGAGACCCAAGCUUUAGUUUCGCUGGUCUUGGUCGGCUUUAGGCAAACGGCGCUUUAUCAUCCCAGCCACAUAUAUCUUGGCUUCAUUAGCCGAUUCUUUACUUUUGUUCGAUUAGUUCGGCUCUUCUUGAACCGAAUGUUUUUCUAUCAAGAAAUUUUUCUUAAAGAAAGUGGCUAUAUCUCGGCUUCAUCAGCCGAUUCUUCACUUUCACUCGAUUGGCUCGGCUCUUCUUGAACCGACUGUUCUUCUAGCAAGGAUUUCUCCUUGUCUUUGCUUUGAUUUUUAUAUCGGCUCCAUUACAGCCGAUCGUUCUCACUUUUCUUCUGAAAUUGCUCGUAUUGGGCAACUCGAACACCUAGAUCAAAUAGGUUAGAAAAAUACUUAUCUUCAAAAUGGUCUUUUAUCUUAAAAUGCAGACUAUUUAACGCCAUUUUGGCGAACUCUGAUUCCGGCAUUCUUAUAAAGCACCGGGUUUUGGCUAUUUUGAAACGGUCCAAAUACUUUUCGACCGUUUCACUUGACAUUUGUCGGUAUAAAGCCAAGUCGGCGACCGAUAAUUGUGGCUCUGAUCUAUAGAAUCGCUCAUGAAAUUUUCUUUCCAAUUCGUCCCAAUCUUGGACGGAAUUGGCUGAUAAACUUGUAUACCAAGUAAACGCCGUUUUAGUUAACGACGUGUUAAAUAAUCGAAGUUUCAAAAAUGAGUCAACGGCCGCUUCUCUACAUUGGGCCGUGAACCGGGCUAUAUGCUCGACCGUAUUCUCGGUCUCAUCGCCCGAGAACUUGUCGAACUUCGGCAUUUUCCAGUUUGCCGGAUACGGAUGCUCUGUAUUUAUGUUUGCUGGGUACGGGGAUCGAAAAACAGGCCGCAUAGCCGGCCUGGCCCCUACCCCGAAGGUAUUCCGAAUGACUUCCUCAAUUUGAGCAUACAGUGGAGCUUGUGCUUGAGCCGAAUUUGGCCCUUGAGGAACUCCAGAAUUCUAUAUUGCAGGGUUCGCUCCUUGCAUAUCAUUAGGGGCCUACCCCCCAGCCCUAAUCCCUAUAUUUUGGGACUGAUAAGCUGGUAAAGGAGGUAAACCCGAUGCAAUCUCCGAUUGAGGGCCGGCGUUUAUAUUCACCGGCCUGUAAGCAACCGGGAAAGGUGCCAUUUGCGGUUCCGCCUGUGAGACCGCCGGCGUGACGGGAUUUUGUUGCACCGGCACAUUUAGGGGCCCUUGUUGCCCCCCAUAAGGUUGCUCAUUUCGGGUAAAUAAUUGUCUGAUUAGACCAAUAUUUUCAUUAUAGGCCGUGAUAGCGGCGAGCACCGCAUCUAGUCGAGCGGUACUUUGAUGGAUGUUUUGAUCUAAAGUUUGCAGGACUCGGCUCAUCUGGCCGAGUGCCUGAGUUAGACUCGCCUCUUGAUGAGCCGACUGUCCAAUAGUUUCUCCUUCAACUGGCAAAACUGCUUGACAUUCGCCAGCAUUGUCUGAAUUACUAGGUUGAUCACUCCCAGAAUUUCUAGGAAUUGCCCUUUUACGUAGAUUUAUGGCGUUAUCAUCAACCAUAAUCUUAAAAAUAGAGUCCCACCGAGCGUGCCAAAAUUGUUGGUGGCCGAAAGUCCCGACCCUUGACCCGGUCAAGAAUUCUCCUCGGGAAGAACGUCGGGAUGAUGAGCGGCCGCGGAUGGUGACCCUCGAAGUUUGCGCCCACGACGGAUCAAGCGAUUCGGCCGAUGAGGGAUCGAAUCAGCCGAGUCCGAAAGCUAUUUUCACUCUUUGGUUCGGCUGGAUGAGCCGAAUAUGCGGGAAAAGUCGGAAAUUAAGCCGGGAGAUGAGCCGAAUGGCUAGCACAACACAAAAUCUGGUCGGCCUGAAUAGCCGAACGUGACUUUCUAUUUAAUAGAAAAUGGAAAAGUAUAAGAACAGGGGAGUGAUGCCCGUGGGGCAGACAGACUCCAAGUAUAUUCUACAAGGGAGUGAUGCCCAUGGGGCAGACAGACUCCAAGUAUAUUCUAUAAGGGAGUGAUGCCUAUGGGGCAGACAGACUCCAAAGAUCUAAGUUACAAGAACUACUGCUAGGGAAAGCAGUAAAUGCGAGAAAGAAAUAUGCAGAAAAUAAGGGUGACCUUUUGUGCGCAGGGGCAAAGACCUCUAUUACAGGCUUCAAAGUUACUAUUUAUAGCCCACAUUAUUAGUUGGUUGAAAGUAGUUGGGGGGAGUGGUUGUAACCAUAAUCGUGGAAGUUAUACUAA
rnacentral:lncRNA from 1 species